CCCGCCGAACGACGAACGCCGUGCAACCAGUAACCAGUAACAUAGCUCAAGCUGGGCAUUCGUGGUUUCACUGGUCAUGACUGUUUCCCAAGAUGGCGCCAGCCUGCAUGCGUGAACGCUACAGUCUUUAUAAACUAUCUUUUCAACGAACUGUCUGUACACUUACAAAGUUCUCAAUGCCUCGGCUUACAUGUAGAGACCCUCAUUAUGCUACCGUGGAAGCGUGGUGCUAUUUUGAGCCUUGUUAGUGGUAUAAAAUAGCGAUUUAUUUUUACUUUUCCAGUGCCCCGAAGACUUGCAUUAUAAGCUUUAUCAGCAGUUUGCGCUAGCUUGUUUCAAGCUAGAGACACAUUCGAUUAGCAUGCAAACAUAUCCCAGAGAACGGUCGACUCGGUACCCAUGUGUUAUUAACCCCUAGGUUCAUUUUGCGCCGGAGAAGAACUA